rnacentral:misc_RNA from 1 species
GAAGAUACAGAGAAAAGGAGAGAAAUGCGAGAGAGGAGAAGAAAAGUUUUAAAGAAUAUAUGCUGUAACAUAAACACCUGCUAACACCCACCAUGUUGAGGGAUGGGGAAUUACAAGUCCAGACCAACAAUCUCUUGUGCAGAUGAACUUAAAAAGAAAAUAAGUGAAAGUUACUCAAUAUUCAGAUCAAAAAUCAUUGAAGAACUUCGUCCAAAUGAAAAGGAUUGGACAGAAUUACAGUUAGCAUGUGGGAGAGGAGACUGCACCACUGUAGCUGACUUGCUGACUGAUGAGAAUAUAGAGGAAAGAACAGAUACUGGGUUAACACUCCUUCACAUAGCUUGUAUAUUUGGGGGAAGUAAAAGUCUGAUAGAUUUACUGCUGAAGAAAAACGUGAAAUCCUCAGUGCUCAGUAAGAACCAGUUUUCUGCACUACAUUUAGCUACAUACAAGGGAGAUACAGAAUGCGUUCAGAACUUGCUGGACAGUGAGGAUGUAGAUGUAAAUUUGGCAGGAAACAGUGGCACCUUCCCAUUACACAUAGCAGCUAAGUGUGGUCAUGCUGAGAUAACCAGUGCUUUGUUGGAAAAUGGAGCAAAGGUCAAUGCUGAGGAUGCAGUAAAGUUCUCACCACUGCAUGUAGCCUGCAACUUUGGUCAUGAGCGGGUGGUGGAGCUGCUGAUCUCACACGGGGCUGAUGUAAACAUUUCAGGGGGAGUGGGUGACAGGCCUCUACACUUGGCCUGUGCCAAGGGUCACCUCCACAUCACUAAGCUGCUAGUCCAGGGCACUUCCCAACAAAAGGCCGAUGUAAAUGUUACAGACGACGAGCAGCACCGACCGAUCCACUUCUGCUGUAAGUCAGGGCACCUGCCUGUCCUGUACUACUUACUGGAAAACAAGGCAGAGCCACAUGCCCAGAACAUCUAUGGAGACACCCCUCUUCAUUUGGCAUGUUACAAUGCCAAGGUGGAGGUGGUCAAGCAGUUAGUAUUACUGACCAGUGCUGAGAGUCUGACUGUUGAAAACAUAUUCAGUGAGUUCCCAAUACACAGUGCCUGUACCAGUGGUCGCAGCCUGGAACUGAUCAAGUAUCUGUUGGAGCAGCCCAGUGUCAACAUCAACCAGCAGGGGCGAGAUGGACAUACAGCAUUGCACAGUGCCUGUAACCAUGGUCACAUCCGUGUUGUCCAGUUCCUACUGGAGUGUCGUGCUGACAUGAACCUUGUGUCCACCAUGACUGACCAGAACUCGGGAAGUGAGAAGGUGGAGGAACAGACAGCACUCAUGUGGGCUUAUGAACAAGGACAUGAUGACAUAGUGACACUUCUGAAGCACCAUAAACGGCCCCAGGAUGAGUCAGCCUGUGGGGACUACUCCCAGCCAGGUCAAGAGGGGUCAUACGUAUCCGUCCCCUCCCCUCUGGGUAAACUUAAAAGUAUAACACGAGAGAAAAUAGAUGUGCUACAGCUGAGAUCCACUUUACCUCGUCACUACCACUUAAAUAUCAGCGACCUUGACUUUGAGGAGGUCAUUGGCAGUGGAUCAUUUGGCAAGGUGUACAAAGGGCGCUAUGAUGGCAAAGUGGUGGCCAUCAAAAGAUAUAGAGCAAACUCGUUUGGUGCCAAAUCUGAUGUUGACAUGUUCUGUAGAGAGGUGGCCAUUCUGUCCAAGUUAAACAGCCCCUAUGUGAUCAGCUUUGUAGGGGCAUGCCUAGAUGAUCCCAGUCAAUUUGCCAUCGUUACUCAGUUUGUGUCUGGUGGUUCCCUCUUCAGUAUACUUCAUGAACAAAAAAGAGUUAUAGAUCUGCAUUCCAAACUGACAAUAGCCGUGGAUAUUGCUAAGGGAAUGGCCUACCUACACACGCUGCCUCAACCAAUCAUACAUCGUGACCUCAACAGCCACAACGUUUUACUGGACGAGAACGGACAUGCACUAGUGGCAGACUUCGGAGAAUCCAGAUUUCUACGAUCUUUGGAGGACAACAUGACUAAACAACCUGGUAAUCUGCGCUGGAUGGCGCCCGAGAUAUUUACACAGUGUACCAAGUACAGCAUCAAGGCAGACAUGUUCAGCUACUCCCUUUGUCUUUGGGAACUACUGGCCGGGGAACUUCCAUUUGGUCACCUCAAACCUGCUGCUGCAGCAGCCGAGAUGGCCUACCACAACACACGUCCACCAAUAGCAGUGACCUUCCCUAAAGCACUAGUAGCCAUCCUCCAGCGCGGCUGGAAUGCCUCGGCAGAGGAUAGGCCCGAAUUUAAAGAAAUUGUGAUUAUUCUGGAGGAGUGUAAACAGUCCCAAGGCGUCGGGCUCCUCACCAACUCUCAAAUCAGUGUCUCCCUCGUGUCCCGACUCUCACCAAUCAGAGACGAAGAGGAAGGAGAGGAAGGUCGUGACACCCCACCCCUGGCUGGUCAUGUGACAGCACUCAGGACACACUGGGAACUUGAGGCCACAAGACACAGUGCUGUUCCAGAUGACGAGCUCAGACGUCGCCUUCAGUAUCCACAGAUAGACAAGAAUGGUUAUGUGUCAGACCCCCUGAGUACACUACAGAUCCCAGUGACUAUUGCCCCACCAGCAGACCCGCUGCCCAAACUGGAGGUGGACUCUCCCUUUACACAACCUGUGGUCAACAACCUCAGUAAUGGCUUCCGGUCACAGUCCCCAGCCAGCAGUUCAUCCUCCCUUACUGACAUCACUUCCUGACCCACUGGGCAUGCCGAGAACUCUCACCAUUGUGGGAAAUAGUCAGCAUUUCAUCAAACAAGGCAAUGACUUACAGAUGACCUUGCAACAGAGGUCAAAUGAAAAGGUGGUUUUAACUGUGUGUGAAUUCUGAGGUUAAAUCCACAUAAAUUAUCUAAACUAUGAACAUCUAGCAAUGAUCACAACCAUGUCAGGUUGUACUAGUGGGUGAACUUUCAACAGACUACAUCAUAGAAUUGUAUUUUGAUGAUGUGACUUUUCCGUCCAGAGAAUAUAAAAUUAAUGUAAUUUGAAUUAAUUUUAAAAAUGUUCAUCCUGACCUGUACUCAUCAUGACCCUGUCUGGUUGUUGUUUCAGUGAUCAACUUUGAUCCUUGUACAGAUGUGUGAUUCAGCUAUCUUUGAAACUCAGACAUUUUUACUGAAUUUUUAGGCAAAUCGUGUCCAAUUAUUUAUACUUGUUUUCAUUGAUGUCAUCAUGACCCUGUGUUGUUGUUGUGUCUGUCCCCAGAUGUUCUACAGUCUAUAGUGUGUCAUAAUGUAUUACAUGUUAAUAUCACAUUUUGGUGCUUAUUAGUCCCCCACUGCUUCGGGGGGGUGGGGGGUCUGCACUCGUCUCUGUCCAAAGAGUUUCUCCAGGGCACUCUAUAUUAUUUCACCUUGAGUAAACAGAUUUGGUAUUGGUAUGCGAGUACAUCAUGGCUUGUUAGAGUGUCAAGUACAAAAACCAGUUUGUCCCGACCAUAUUUUCUAUACUAUUACACCUUAAGUAACCAGAUUUGGUAUUUUAACUAGCAUUACUAGGUUUGGUAAAGGGGUAUGUCUUGGCUGGUGGAGUGUGUAGCACAAGAAGUGUGUUACUGUGAACUACAUCCUGAGAUAGGUAUACAGCUCGGGGUAUGUCUUGGCUGGUGGAGUGUGGAGUACAAGAAGUGUGUUACUUUGAACUACAUCCUGAGAUAGGUGUACAGCUCGGGGUAUGUCUUAACUGGUGGAGUGUGGAGUACAAGAAGUGUGUUACUGUGAACUACAUCCUGAGAUAGGUAUACAGCUCGGGGUAUGUCUUGGCUGGUGGAGUGUGGAGUACAAGAAGUGUGUUACUGUGAACUACAUCCUGAGAUAGGUGUACAGCUCGGGGUAUGUCUUGGCUGGUGGAGUGUGGAGUACAAGAAGUGUGUUACUGUGAACUACAUCCUGAGAUAGGUAUACAGCUCGGGGUAUGUCUUGGCUGGUGGAGUGUGGAGUACAAGAAGUGUGUUACUGUGAACUACAUCCUGAGAUAGGUAUACAGCUCGGGGUAUGUCUUGGCUGGUGGAGUGUGGAGUACAAGAAGUGUGUUACUGUGAACUACAUCCUGAGAUAGGUAUACAGCUCGGGGUAUGUCUUGGCUGGUGGAGUGUGGAGUACAAGAAGUGUGUUACUGUGAACUACAUCCUGAGAUAGGUGUACAGCUCGGGGUAUGUCUUGGCUGGUGGAGUGUGGAGUACAAGAAGUGUGUUACUGUGAACUACAUCCUGAGAUAGGUAUACAGCUCGGGGUAUGUCUUGGCUGGUGGAGUGUGGAGUACAAGAAGUGUGUUACUGUGAACUACAUCCUGAGAUAGGUAUACAGCUCGGGGUAUGUCUUGGCUGGUGGAGUGUGGAGUACAAGAAGUGUGUUACUGUGAACUACAUCCUGAGAUAGGUGUACAGCUCGGGUACAAGAAGUGUGUUACUGUGAACUACAUCCUGAGAUAGGUGUACAGCUCGGGGUAUGUCUUGGCUGGUGGAGUGUGGAGUACAAGAAGUGUGUUACUGUGAACUACAUCCUGAGAUAGGUAUACAGCUCGGGGUAUGUCUUGGCUGGUGGAGUGUGGAGUACAAGAAGUGUGUUACUGUGAACUACAUCCUGAGAUAGGUAUACAGCUCGGGGUAUGUCUUGGCUGGUGGAGUGUGGAGUACAAGAAGUGUGUUACUGUGAACUACAUCCUGAGAUAGGUAUACAGCUCGGGGUAUGUCUUGGCUGGUGGAGUGUGGAGUACAAGAAGUGUGUUACUGUGAACUACAUCCUGAGAUAGGUAUACAGCUCGGGGUAUGUCUUGGCUGGUGGAGUGUGGAGUACAAGAAGUGUGUUACUGUGAACUACAUCCUGAGAUAGGUAUACAGCUCGGGGUAUGUCUUGGCUGGUGGAGUGUGGAGUACAAGAAGUGUGUUACUGUGAACUACAUCCUGAGAUAGGUAUACAGCUCGGGGUAUGUCUUGGCUGGUGGAGUGUGGAGUACAAGAAGUGUGUUACUGUGAACUACAUCCUGAGAUAGGUAUACAGCUCGGGGUAUGUCUUGGCUGGUGGAGUGUGGAGUACAAGAAGUGUGUUACUGUGAACUACAUCCUGAGAUAGGUAUACAGCUCGGGGUAUGUCUUGGCUGGUGGAGUGUGGAGUACAAGAAGUGUGUUACUGUGAACUACAUCCUGAGAUAGGUGUACAGCUCGGGGUAUGUCUUGGCUGGUGGAGUGUGGAGUACAAGAAGUGUGUUACUGUGAACUACAUCCUGAGAUAGGUAUACAGCUCGGGGUAUGUCUUGGCUGGUGGAGUGUGGAGUACAAGAAGUGUGUUACUGUGAACUACAUCCUGAGAUAGGUGUACAGCUCGGGGUAUGUCUUGGCUGGUGGAGUAUGGAGUACAAGAAGUGUGUUACUUUGAACUACAUCCUGAGAUAGGUGUACAGCUCGGUCAAUAUAGAAAUCAUCACUGGUGGGGGACUAUGGAUUGCAGCCUUCAAUACUUUGCCUUGGUUGUGAUGUACUUACAUCAUCAUCUUUUAAUCUGUCAUCUUCAUGUUCUUGUGCCUUGAUUACCUGCCUAUGUGAAUUUAAAAAAUUAAUACAAUAUUUUUUCGACAGGAUUUAGGGCUUAUUUUCCAUACAUUUAUAUUUUCGCCAAGCUUUUGUAAAGGUAGUUCCAAUCAAAAUGUUUCCUGUGCAUCAAAUAGGAUAUUAUUUUUGUAUUAACACAAAGUUAGCUUGUAACAAUAUACAAAGGUUCAGCAAUGCAAUACAUUUAUGUCUUUACUUCCCAAUCGUUUAUCCUUGGAAACCUUGGUGAAAUACUUGAAUAAAUAACAUGUCAAUUAGAAUAUUGUAAUUGCAGGGCUUGCCAAUUGACCGGACUCCACUGUACUGAGAUAUAGAUUGUACUGUAAUCUUUCAUUCAAUAUUUAUGUUAUUAACGGUUAGUUGUCGAGUAAAAAUGUUUUUACAAAUCCAGGGAAUGGUUUCAGCACAUCUUUGUAACUGUUUAUACCACAUAUACAAUACUGAUGUGGUGUAGCCUGACCCUCUGGGUGGAUGUGAUGUUGGACAUUUAUAAAUACCAGGUCUGAAGCUGUCUAUUAAAUGUACAGUAAAACCUGACAUUAAAGACAUGUUGUGACAAUCUUAAGUGUGAUGGCAGUGAGUAAUAAUUGAUAUCUCGAUGGCGUGAGAGUGUGUGUCGUCUGUUACAUAAGUAAGGCACAGUGCAAUAUAUUUAAUAGGAUAUUUGUGGAUAUCUGUUCAUUUACAAUAUUACAUUAAAAUUUUAUAGAGCAACAAAUAAUGUCAGUUUUGGUUUCAUAUCUUUUUAAAAAUGUCUUUGUACUUUUUAUAUUAAGCCUGAAAAAAUCAGGUGAACACUAUGUGGUCAGUGAGGUGAUGACUUUACCAUGGACGUAAAGCCUGUCUAUAGAGGCAUUCUAAAUCAUUGUAUGUAUUAUGUAUACCACAAAUAAUUAAACCUUAAGCUUGCUAAAACACUUAGAACUUCCUAAGCCAUGCUGAUUGGUAGGGAUAACACUGGUCACAGAUGUGGUGACCUGAUAUAACAGUUACUGGUUAUAGGUAGGGAUAACACUGGUCGCAGAUGUGGUGACCUGAUGUAACAGUUACUGAUUAUAGGUAGGGAUAACACUGGUCACGGAUGUGGUGACCUGAUAUAACAGUUACUGAUUAUAGGUAGGGAUAACACUGGUCCCAGAUGUGGUGACCUGAUAUAACAGUUACUGGUUAUAGGUAGGGAUAACACUGGUCACAGAUGUGUUGACCUGAUAUAACAGUUACUGAUUAUAGGUAGGGAUAACACUGGUCCCAGAUGUGGUGACCUGAUAUAACAGUUACUGGUUAUAGGUAGGGAUAACACUGGUCACAGAUGUGGUUACCUGAUAUAACAGUUACUGAUUAUAGGUAGGGAUAACACUGGUCCCAGAUGUGGUGACCUGAUAUAACAGUUACUGGUUAUAGGUAGGGAUAACACUGGUCGCAGAUGUGGUGACCUGAUGUAACAGUUACUGAUUAUAGGUAGGGAUAACACUGGUCCCAGAUGUGGUGACCUGAUAUAACAGUUACUGGUUAUAGGUAGGGAUAACACUGGUCGCAGAUGUGGUGACCUGAUAUAACAGUUCCUGAUUAUAGGUAGGGAUAACACUGGUCCCAGAUGUGGUGACCUGAUAUAACAGUUACUGGUUAUAGGUAGGGAUAACACUGGUCACAGAUGUGUUGACCUGAUAUAACAGUUCCUUAUUAUAGGUAGGGAUAACACUGGUCACAGAUGUAGUGACCUGAUAUAACAGUUCCUGAUUAUAGGUAGGGAUAACACUGGUCACAGAUGUGUUGACCUGAUAUAACAGUUCCUUAUUAUAGGUAGGGAUAACACUGGUCACAGAUGUGUUGACCUGAUAUAACAGUUCCUUAUUAUAGGUAGGGAUAACACUGGUCACAGAUGUGGUGACCUCAUAUAACAGUUACUGAUUAUAGGUAGGGAUAACACUGGUCCCAGAUGUGGUGACCUGAUAUAACAGUUACUGGUUAUAGGUAGGGAUAACACUGGUCACAGAUGUGGUUACCUGAUAUAACAGUUACUGAUUAUAGGUAGGGAUAAAACUGGUCACAGAUGUGGUGACCUGAUGUAACAGUUACUGAUUAUAGGUAGGGAUAACACUGGUCCCAGAUGUGGUGACCUGAUAUAACAGUUACUGGUUAUAGGUAGGGAUAACACUGGUCACAGAUGUGGUGACCUGAUAUAACAGUUACUGAUAUAUCUGAGACAAUUGCUGACAUUUUGAUAUAACUUGUGAUAAGCCUUUUCGUACCUUUUAACAGACUCUUUAUUAGGGCUAGACUCCAGUCUCUCUGAUACAGCAACCGAGGUCUGGGGUUUGUUAUAUUACUGUAUUCUGUAAGUAUUUAUGGUCUUUCAUUCUAUAUUUUGAAAUGCAAGAGACUUGGACAGUAGAUGAUGUUUUACAUUUUUACAUUAGAUACAACAUGAAAUAUUAGUUACCAAUAUUUCUGCAUUUUGUUACAAAUAUAAUAAACUGUAUUCACAAUAAAAGUGGAGUUUUUUUCCAAAUCAAUGUA